AGGAGAUGAUGCCUAUGUGAAUCAUGCUUGCCAAGCCGGUGUAUUGCCAGAAAAGAUAUGUGGCUUUCUGGCCUGCCACAGUUGUGACCACCCCGCUUUCAGCACUGGUUUGACCUGACUUUAGAGACCACUUGAGAUGGACAUGCAAUGGGGCAUAUGGGGAAUGUCCCUAGGUGGAUGUCUCUGGGCCUGUCUGCUGUGCCUCUGCCACAACACACAAGUCUUUUUCAGGGUUAUAAAGCUGCCACAUCAAUUAUACUGGAACACCUUUUCAGUUAAAAUGUAGGUGAGACCAUCUGCAGCAGUGUCCUGUGUGCUCAUGACAAGGAUUGCUCAGUGCAGAACGCUGGGGAGGACUUCCCAGCUUCAGUGACGUUGCAUUAAAAAGAG
rnacentral:lncRNA from 1 species